ensembl:lncRNA
UUCCUCUUUGAAUGCGGUUUACUUUUAAUGUAUGUAAAAAUGGCAUGACUUUAUGACACAACAUUUGAAAAUAAUAAGUAUUAAUUAACUUUGUGGAAAACAUUACAAUAAUAGUAAAAAAUAAGUGUAGAUUACUUUUGCAAUGGUGUCACCUGGCUGGUUGUGUGAAGGUAAGAAUGCAAAAUAGGUUAUGAUAAAAACCUAUAAUGAAAGAUAAUGCUGGGUAAAAUGUUCGCAUUCAAUUGUUAGUAAUCCUACAGGUUUUGAAUGAAACACUUAUAUCAGGGAAUUAUCUGCAUUCAUGCACUUACCCAGACGCACACACAAACACACUCACACACACAAGUAUAUAAAUUCACCAAUGUAAUCGGAGUCUGAUUAGCAGUUGACGUGCAGAAGCCACUGAGAUCUCUUCUUCUUCCUCUUCAUUCUGCUUCACCCUCCAGUCUGUUCACAUUUAAUAUUUCAUGAGCAGAGAGCUGCUAUAUUAGGACACGGGUUUUAUCCAUUCACCCACAUAAUGCAUUAAGCAUUAGAUGAGACCUGUUCAUAUUUACCAAUUAGGUAUCAAUAUCAUCAAUCCCAAUACAAAAUCCGGCUUUGGAUAUCAGACAAAAGAUGUUUGUGAGUUGUUAUUCUUACAAAAACACCUCACGGUCAUCGAGCGGUGAUGACCUAAUUCCCUAUUUUCAGUAACUCACACUAAUCGGUCCUAUACAUCCAGUUUAUAAUGGACCACUCAUUACAUUUUUAUGAAUUCAUGAAUCAUUAUUUUUCUCUCAUCUGUCAGAGGCUCUGGAACUGAAUGCUGCAUUGCUGCACAUUGAUCCUGGCUGGGAAAGUGGUAUUUUGGUAUGGUAUUUUUUUUAUUGGAGUCAUUUUACUAACUGUGCUGGUGCUGCCCUCUGCUGUAAGAAAAGAAAUCAUUGGGCAACUUGGGUUCCAUCUCAAGGCUUAUUUUCAUCCGUAAAAUAAUAGAAAACCUUUUCUUAAAUACUCUUUGAAUGGGCAGUUUUGUUUAUGAACACUGGACAUACAAGUGGAUGCAUCAUUAAGAUCCUACUCAUUUGUUACCAAAUCGAUCACUUAAUGUCACAAUUGGUGCCUCUCAAGUCACACAGAUUCAUUUCUGUUGAUAUUGUAGUUAUGAGAAGCGAUAAACACAUAAUUUUUCAUACUCUGUGACUACUGUGUAGCAUCCCUUCAACUUGGAAUAAACAGGCUUGGGAGUGUUUCCACUCACUCUCUGGGAACC